GCUUUGGCUGCUGCGAAUUCCUCAGGAUGUUACGCAACCAGGGUAAUCUGCAUGCAGUGAAACGCUGCCCGGGGUAUUCCCCCUGCACAGCGCUGCCCUUCCAGGCUAAACUGGUCAGAAAGCGGCGCGGAUCGGCUGGCAUGGCGCACAAACAGCCGCUCUGCCUCCGCGUUGUGCGUAAAACCCGUCCGGGCAGGUUUGGUUGCUUACCUUCAGCCUGCGCGGAAUGACAACAGCAGCAGCCCGCUGACAGUGGAGCCGAUCCCGGAACGAGCCCUGGCGGCUCUCCGACAGCAGAAGAUGGCUGAUGAUGCUCUGACCUGGAAGCCGUCCAUCCCUCCUGCCUCUCGCUCAGACAUCCGUCUGCUCUGUUUCUCUCUGAGCCGGUCAGCCGUAAGUGGAUUAGCGUCCGCCGCCUCCCAUAGGAGGAUCACGGAGAUGUGACCUCACCACGAGUGACCCUCGGCGUCCCCAUAGCGACGCCGUGGCAACGCAACACUAUGGCAACGGAGUGGAGCAACCUCUGAUUCAACACUUUGCAUCUGCUUUUCAUGUUCCCGCCUGCAGCGGCUUCCUGGGAGCUGCAGAGAUGAAAAAUAUGAAUCAUUAGAAAGUGAUUUGAUCUCCUGAACUGCUUCAAGAAAAAUAAAUCUUUAAGUGACUCACUCUG